CUACGGGAUGCUGCAGUGGGGAAUAUUGGACAAUGGGGGCAACCCUGAUCCAGCAAUGCCGCGUGUGUGAAGAAGGCCUUCGGGUUGUAAAGCACUUUCGAUGGGGACAAACAAGGUGGAGCUAAUAUCUCCGCCCCUGAUGGUACCCAGAGAAGAAGCACCGGCUAACUCUGUGCCAGCAGCCGCGGUAAUACAGAGGGUGCAAGCGUUAAUCGGAAUUACUGGGCGUAAAGGGUGCGUAGGUGGCUUGAUAAGUCGGGUGUGAAAUCCCCGGGCUCAACCUGGGAACUGCAGCCGAUACUGUCGCGCUGGAGUGUGGUAGAGGGAAGUGGAAUUCCGCAUGUAGCGGUGAAAUGCGUAGAUAUGCGGAGGAACACCAGUGGCGAAGGCGACUUCCUGGACCAACACUGACACUGAGGCACGAAAGCGUGGGGAUCAAACAGGAUUAGAUACCCCUGUAGUC
rnacentral:rRNA from 1 species